rnacentral:rRNA from 1 species
AGCAUAUCAAUAAGCGGAGGAAAAGAAAAUAACAAUGAUUCCCUUAGUAACGGCGAGUGAAGGGGGAAAAGCUCAAAUUUUAAAUCUGCUAGGUUUUACCUGUCAGAAUUGUAAUUUGAAGAAGCGUUUUCCGCGUCUCGGUUGGCCCAAAUCCUUUGGGAUAAGGUAUCAUGGAGGGUGAGAAUCCCGUUCGGUUGACCUUAUGACGUUCUACGAUACGCUUUCUAAGAGUCGAGUUGUUUGGGAUUGCAGCUCAAAAUGGGAGGUAAAUUUCUCCUAAGGCUAAAUAUCGGCGAGAGACCGAUAGCGAACAAGUACCGUGAGGGAAAGAUGAAAAGAACUUUGAAAAGAGAGUAAAAUAGUACGUGAAAUUGUUGAAAGGGAAACGAUUGAAGUCAGUNGUACCGACGAGAAAUCAGCUUAUCGUGUGUUAACUUGUGGGCGUGCGUGAGUUUCGGCCUCGCUGUUUGCAAGUUUGUGCGCUUUGGGUGUACUUUUUNGUAUGGUUGGCCAACAUCAGUUUCGAUCACUAUAAAAUGACUGGCGGAANGUAGNUUCGAUUUCGGUUGAAGUGUUAUAGCCUCUGGUAGAUGUGGUGAUUGGGANUGAGGAUUGCAACGAAUAUCCUUUGGGCUAUCCGUCUGGCCUCUGAAAGUUGCUUGGGUGNUGAAAGCUUGCUUAUGGUUAUCUAAGUUAACGGUCAAUAGGUCAGAACGNGAUUACAUUCGUUAAGGAUGU